rnacentral:rRNA from 1 species
GACGAACGCUGGCGGCGUGCUUAACACAUGCAAGUCGAACGGAAAGGCCCUUCGGGGUCCUCGAGUGGCGAACGGGUGAGUAACACGUGGGUGAGUUGCUCUGCACUCUGUGAUAAGCCUGGGAAACUGGGUCUAAGACCGAAAUGGACCACGCGCUUCUGGGCGGGUGGUGGAAAGCGUUUGCGGCGUGGGCUGGGCCCGCGGCCGAUCAGCUUGUUGGUGAGGUAAUGGCCUACCAAGGCGACGACGGGUAGCCGGCCUGGGAGGGUGACCGGCCACACUGCGACUGCGAUACGGCGCAGACUCCUACGGGAGGCAGCAGUCGGGAAUAUUGCACAAUGGGCGCAAGUCUGAUGCAGCGACGCCGCGUGCGGGAUGACGGCCUUCGGGUUGUAAACCUCUUUCAAUGGGGACGAAGCGAAAGUGACGGUACCUAUAGAAGAAGCACCGGCCAACUACGUG